AAUUGGAGCACACAUUACAAUAUUAUAAAGGGGAUCUGUGAAGGUUUAAAUUUCCUUCACGAAUGCAAACCACAAAUUUGUCAUCUUGAUUUGAAGCCGACCAAUAUAUUACUAGACAGUUCCAUGGAGCCUAAAGUGGCGGAUUUUGGAUUGUAAAGGCUAUUCACUCCAUCACACACACAUAUCACACAAAGAAUCAUAGGAACCCGGUAA
rnacentral:rRNA from 1 species